rnacentral:lncRNA from 1 species
AGUUCGCCAGGCAGGAAGUGCAGUAGCAGGACUCUGGCUUUCCGGAGAGUCUCUGUUUUUCCUUUUUUUUUUUCCCUUUUCGCCCAAUAAAUACCAUUUUUCUCACCCUUCAAAGUGUCUGCAAGCCUAAUAUUUCAUGGAUGUUUGACAAGGACCCCGUCUUUAGCUGAACUAAGGAGAAAGUCCUGCAACACACACAUGGAGCUCAGCAAACGGAGGAUGUAGUAGACGCACAUGAAAUUUGGUGCUGUGACUCGGAUUGGGGGACCUCCCUUGGGAGAUCAAUCCCCUGUCCUCCUGUUCUUUGCUCCAUGGGAAAGAUCCACCUACGACCUCAGGUCCUCAGACCGACCAGCCCAAGGAACAUCUCACCAAUUUUAAAUCGGGUAAGCGGCCUCUUCUUACUCUCUUCUCCAAGCUCUCUCACUGUCCCUCAACCACUUUCUCCUUUCCACUCUUCAAUCUUUCCCUUCUCUUAAUUUCAAUUCCUUUCAUUUUCUGGUAGAGACGAAGGAGACACGUUUUAUCUGUGGACCCAAAACUCCGGUGUCGGUCACGGACUAGGGAAGGCAGCCUUCCCUUGGUGUUUAAUCAUUGCAGGGAUGCCUGAUUAUUCACCCAAGUUUCAGAGGUGUCAGACCAUGCAGGGACGCCUGUCUUGGUCCUUCACCCUUAGCAGCAAGUCCCGCUUUUCUGGGGAAGGGGCAAUACCCCAACCCCUUCUCUCCAUGUCUCUACCCCUUCUUCACCUUUCUGGGGGGCAAGAAACCCCCAACCCCUUCUCCUUCACCCUUAGCGGCAAGUCCCGCUUUUCUAGGGGAGAGGCAAAUACCCCAACCCCUUAUAUCUCUGCGCCCCAUCCCUUAUUUCCCCACCCCAACCCCUUAUAUCUCUGUGCCCCGAUCCCUUAUUUCCAUGCCCCAACCUCUUAUAUCUCUGCACCCCAAUCCCUUAUUUCCGCGCCCCAACCUCUUAUAUCUCUGCACCUUUGUGCCCCAACCCCUUCUCUGCUUUUCUGGAGGGCAAGAACUCCCCACCCCUUCUCCGUGUCUCUACUGUUUUCUCUGGGCUUGCCUCCUUUACUAUGGGCAAGCUUCCACCUUCCAUUCCUCCUUCUUCUCCCUUAGCCUGUGUUCUUAAGAACUUAAAACCUCUUCAACUCUCACCUGACCUAAAAUCUAAGCAUCUUAUUUUCUUCUGCAAUGCCGCUUGACCCCAAUACAAACUCGACAGUAGUUCCAAAUAGCCAGAAAAUGGCACUUUCAAUUUUUCCAUCCUACAAGAUCUAAAUAAUUCUUGUCAUAAAAUGGGCAAAUGGUCUGAGGUGCCUGACAUCCAGGCAUUCUUUUACACGUCGGUCCCUCUCUAGUCUCUGUUCCCAAUGCAACUCAUCCCAAAUCUUCCUUCUUUCCCUCCCACCUGUCCCCUCAGUCCCAACCCCAAGCGUCACUGAGUCUUUCUAAUCUUCCUUUUCUACAGACCCAUCUGACCUCUCCCCUCCUCCCCAGGCUGCUCCUCGCCAGGCCGAGCUAGAUCCCAAUUCUUCCUCAGCCUCCGCUCCUCCACCCUAUAAUCCUUUUAUCACCUCCCCUCCUCACACCCGCUCUGGCUUAGUUGGUCUGGCUUAGUUUCAUUCCGUGACUAGCCCUCCCCUACCUGCCCAGCAAUUUGCUCUUAAAAAGGUGACUAGAGCUAAAGGCAUAGUCAAGGUUUAAUGCUCCUUUUUCUUUAUCCCAAAUCAGAUAACAUUUAGGCUCUUUUUCAUCAAAUAUAAAAAACCCAGCCCAGUUCAUGGCUCGUUCGGCAGCAACCCUGAGACGCUUUACAGCCCUACACCCUAAAAGGUCAAAAGGCCGUCCUAUUCUCAAUAUACAUUUUAUUACCCAAUCUGCUCCCGACAUUAAAUAAAACUCCAAAAAUUAAAUUCUGGCCCUCAAACCCCACACCAGGAUUUAAUUAACCUCGCCUUCAAGGUGUACAACAAUAGAAAAAAGUUGCAAUUCCUUGUCUCCACUGUGAGACAAACCCCAGCCACAUCUCCAGCACACAAGAACUUCCAAACGCCUGAACCGCAGCGGCCAGGCGUUCCUCCAGAACCUCCUCCCCAGGAGCUCGCUACAAGUGCCAGAAAUCUGACCACCAAGCCAAGGAAUGCCUGCAGCCCAGGAUUCCUCCUAAGCCGUGUCCCAUCUGUGCAGGACCCCACUGGAAAUCGGACUGUUCAACUCACCUGGCAGCCACUCACAGAGCCCGUGGAACUCUGGCCCAAGGCUCUCUGACUCCUUCUCGGCUUAGCGGCUAAAGACUGACACUGCCCGAUCGCCUCGGAAGCCCCGUAGACCAUCACGGACGCCGAGCUUUAGAUGAAGAAACUGAGGUCCAGAGAAGUUAAACGACCUUCCUAAGAUUACACAGCUUAGUAAGUGGCAGAACCACAGCUGGAAGCCAGGUCCUUCCUCACGCAAGUCCUGGCUCAUUCAUUCCUCUUCCAAAGACUUGCUGAGCACCUUCUAGGUGCCAGAUGCGGUGCUGGCUCCUGGGGACAUGGGAGUGAACAGGCCAGGCGUGGCCCUGAACCAUCAAAUAGACAACCACAGAAAUAACAACGUGAGUUAAAAUGAGAUUAUGAAGAAGAGACACAGGUUUCUACAAUGGUUUAGUAGAGGGAUCUCUAACCAAGUUUGGAGAGUUGAGAAAGUCUCUAUGAGGCAGUCACAUCCAUGUAAGCUAAGAUCUGAAAGACAAAAGUUGUUAUCCAGGAGAGUGGCAGCAGGGAGAGCAUUCCAGAUGCAGGGAAUAGCUUGGCACGUUUGUGGAAGAGAAAAAUCUGUUAACGUGAUUGUAGGGUAGGGUGGAAAAAAGGAGAAAUGGAGCAAGAUGAGGCUAGGGAGGCAGGCAGGGACCAGACUACGAACUGCCUUAAAGCUCUGCUUAAAAAUGUUUGCCACGAUUUGAAGAGUAAUGGGAAGCCUUGAAGGUUUUUAACCAGAAGAGUCUUAUAUUUAGAUUUGUUAUUUUUUAAAUAUCACACUGGCUGCUGUUUAGGAAUGAUGCUGGAGGCUGACGAAGAUAAGGGUGGAAAGUGGGCAAUAAAUCAGGAGCUGUUGCAACAUUCCCAGCAAAGGAUAAUGGUGAAUGUAAUGGCAAUGGGGAUUUGGGGAAGCAGGGGGGCCUCGUGGCUGAUUGGAUGUGGUGUUGGUGAGGGAGGAGGGGUCACAGAUUUCCAUCCUCCCAUGGGUGUUUCUAUCUCCCAGGCUAGGCUUCUUGUGUUUGCUUUCCUUCUUGCAGAACAAAGACAAAACCGGGCCCUUCCACACAGUAGCUGGAACACAAAGGAAGAUCAGCCAAGCCUCAACAUAAUCUCAUAAAAAUUCUUCAAAUAUCCCAUUGUUAUGGAUUCAUACAUCAGGAAAGCAGGUAAAAUAUUUCACCUUGAUGCUCACCUAGAUGGUCAGACUCUUUGAGGAAGACAUCAAACUUUUCCCCAGAAAGAAAAAAUAAAUAACUUUUUAGACUAUACAAAAGGGUCAAUGUCAUGUUACAUAAGAUGCUCAAACUCCUGUCUUGAUGUUAAGUCCACUGGUCUUACCACAGCUUCUGAACACCAAGACUGCUGCUGUGACAGUGACAAGAGAAUUAUUUAGAAUUAAAAAACAAUUGUCCUUACAUUUUCUCCUCAAAAUUCUAGGGGAGAAAGAGCUUCCAAGUAAGCAGAGCCAAGGCACUAUUGAGAGUGACAGACUGGAAAGAAAGGAAUUAAGUGGCCUUUAGCUCCUGUCUGUUGGAGAGUGGUGUAGUAGAAAAUACUUAGGCUUUGGAAUCUGAGCUGGGUUCAGAUCCUGCUUCUCUCAUUUACUAGCUGCAUGUAGAUGAGUAUCUUAAAUUGCUUUUUCUGUGUCACAAAUGACAAUUUAAAAAACCUCUAUCUCACAGGUUAUUAUAAAAAGUAAGACACGCAUUCAAGGGUAGCAUAGUACUAGGCACAGAGGAAGAACAUUCAACAGGUGUGAGAGACAAUGUUGUCAAUAUGCUAUAUGCAAGGAAAAAUGUUUUUAGGUAUUUUUUGACUCUUUGAUGCUGAAUGGAAAAUUCUUCACUGUCAUUAGCAAUAAUGGAGAAGAUAAUUUCAGUUUGCAAUUGGAGGCUCAUAAAACAAGUAACUGGAUUUUCAGAAAAGUUAAGUAUUUGUUGAAUCUAUAAUGCACUAAUCGUUUUGUAAGGUGAUGUGAGAUACUUAAAGAGGCAUUAAGAUACAAACAUAGAGACUAGUGGGUGAGACAUAAAAGCAAAGACCUAGGAGAAGGAAGCUCAUCUAGGAAAGGAAGCUCCUUAGAUCUAGCUUGGCUGAGUUGCAAGCCAGACUGGAGAAGGUAAGUGCUCUCAGAAACAGGAAUUGCUGUCUGGCAGGGCCUGAAUGAUAAGAUCUACUCUUCCCCUGUCCAAAUGCAACCCCUAAAAGCCAGUUCAGAAUAAAUAAGGAAGAAUAUUUUUUUCAGAGCAAUUAAGAGUCAUUAUGAAGUAGGUCAGAAUAAAAUAUGGCAGCUUCAGGCUGUGUGCGAUUACUGCUCUGAUAUUUAUCUGCAAAGCAGGAGUCAUUUAUCCUAUUCUAAAAUAAAUAACUCGGCCAGGCAUGGUGGCUCAUGCCUGUAAUCCCAGCACUUUUGGAGGCCAAGGCAGGUGGAUCACCUGAGAUCAGAAGUUCGAGACCAGCCUGGCCAACAUGGUAAAACCCUGUCUCUACUAAAAAUACAAAAAUUAGCCAGGCAUGGUGGUGGGGAUCUGUAAUUCCAGCUACUCGGGAGGCUGAGGCAGGAGAAUUGCUUAAACCCAGGAGGUGGAGGUUGCAAUGAGCCGAGAUUGUGCCACUGCACUCCAGCCUGGGUGACAGAGCAAGACUGUGUCUCAAAAAAUAAAUAUAUAAAUAAAUAAAAUAAAUAACUCAAUGAGUUUUCAAAAACAACCAAAAAAUCAGCUUGAGAAAUAGUUUUCAGACAAACUUAGCCUGAGUAGACCCACCCUGAGAGAUUUGAGGGCUCUACUGAGGCAGGAGACUAGGGCCUGGAGGCAGGGAACAUAAAGCCAAUCCACACUGACUUUACUAAAUCAAAUGAAAGCACCUUAGCAAUGACAGGAAUGUGAAUGGUUUUGUAAAUUCCCUUCAUCCUCUCCAUUCAUACCAUUUCCACUUUGUAACUUCACUUUCAUCCUCUCCAUUUACAUAGAUCACACACCAACUAACAUCCUCUCCAUUUACAGUAGGGCACAUUCUGAGUAAAUGACUCUGUGACUUCACUUUAUUCACUUCAUUUACAUAGAAUAUUCACCAAGUGACCAACGGGAAACCUCUAGAGCAUUAAAACCCCAGAAAAUUCUGUAAGCCGGGCUCUUGAGCCUCUAUGAUUGGGCUGUUCCCACACUGUGGCGUGUACUUUUAUUCUCAAUAAAUCCCUGCUUUUGCUUUCCUUGCCUCAUUUGUGCAUUUUGUCAACUUCUUCAUUUGAGAUGCCAAGAACCUGAACACCUUCUACUGGUAACAUAUAUUUUGGCGAGCCAGCCUGGAGACAAGGUAGGCCCAAAGUUUGGGAUUUAUUUUUCUUUCCCCUUUUACAUACAGGGAAACCUUUUUCUCUCUCUUUUUCCUUUCCAACUUGGGACCCUCCGUGAUCAGCGCCUAAACAUAGAGACAACUGCAAGUUUCCAGCCAGGGCCACUCUCUGGUGAAACCUACAGGUUUCCAUGUGACGCAUCUGACCACCACCACCCGGCUGGGUGGGCAACCUGAGUCCUUUUCCUUGGUUUUGUUUUUCUGAGUCCUAUUCCUUUCUCCCUUUUACUGAGUUAUUUUUCUUUUUCCUGUUUCGGUCUUUCAGCUACUCCUAGUAGCUCCCGGUUAAUUGAGGACAGCUGGCCGGGGCCACUCUCGGGUGCCUUCUGAAGGCCAAGAAACGAAAAGGGAUGGCUGCCCUGCCCAGAAGGGGGAAGGACUUUUUUCUAUCUCUCCGGUUAGAGUUCCUCAUCCCAACAUGUGACGCAAUUGCUGUGGCAGCUCAUCCAGGGUGAACUCACACAUGUUUCAGACAACUUAAACCUUCUUUCCUCAUGCCAAAUUCUUCCCUUCCUCCAUUCAGCUGUCUAAGGACAAGAUAGAGGGUUCAGAUAUGUCAUAAAUUGUGAGAAUUAGGGAAAUUAACAAAGGGGAUUUAUGCAGGAACUGACGUGUAGGUUUACUGCCCAAAUUUAUAGAGUUAAAGGGUUGCUUUAACUGGGAUAGAAAAUCCUCAAGGAAAAGUUAACAGUAGGUCCUCAGUGGAGGAGGGAACCAUUCCAAAGUGGUGCCGGCACCCAUCUAAGGUUGGAGAUGUGCAACAGACUAAGUCAGACCCUUAAGGGGGAAGCCCUCAGGGACCCCGUGCUGGGCCCAGAAUUUUUCCAGGGGAAUGCCCCGGGUAAAAUUUGGGUCACCUAAUAAACCCUCCACUUUUCAAAGUCCUCUUCUCUUUUCCAGACCACUAUGGGCAACUUCCUGUCUAUUCUACCUGGUGUCACUGUGGACAACUUCCUAUCUAUUCCACCCGAUUCACCGCUUGGCUACAUCCUCCACCAUUGGGAUGAAUUUGACCCUAACAAUCUAAAGAAAAGGCAUAUGAUUUUUUACUGCAAUAUUGUUUGACACAAUUAUGAGCUGCCCAAUCCGGAACAAUGGGCAGUCAAUGGUAGCCUUAAUUAUGAUACCAUCCUGUAUCUAGACCUAUUUUACAAGAGGCAGGGCAAAUGGUCAGAAGUCCCACAUAUACAGGCCUACAUGACCCUAUACGAAGACCUAAGAAUCUAGGAAACUCCCAGAACCCAUCCCCCGAAGGAAAGUUCUGGGGCAGAACUAGAUAUUAUAGAUGAACCCCCUUUUACAAGGGAUACCUGUCUCUCAGAGUGAGCAGUGACUGUCCCCAUAUAACCCCUCACCAAGUGCUCCUGAGGCUGAAACCCAGGGGCAAACAUGGGGAACCCUACUAAGUCCCCCUCACACUUGGAGGGGAACACUGUAUUCAACUCUCUAUCCAGCCCUGCUACUCUCAGAGAAAUAGCAGGGGCUGAGGGGCCAAUCCUAGUGUGGGUCCCCUUCUCUAUGAUUGAUAUACAACAAUGUAAGGAAAAGCUAGGAAGCUAUUCUGAGGAUUCCGGGAAGUUUGCAGAUGGGUUCCAAACUUUGACCUUAGCCUUUGAUCUCUCAUGGAGAGACGUUCAAUUCACUCUAGCAACCUGUUGCACCUCCUCGGAAAAGGAACGAAUCUUUGAGGCUGCCCUCCGAGAAGUGGACGAAUUAUUCACCCAAAACCGUAAAGGCAGUCACCCAGGCCCAGCCACAGUUCCCACUACGCAUCCUAAUUGAGACCAAGACACCCCCGCAGGAAGGAACAACUGGGCUAAAUUUCUUGAGGCUCUUGGAGGAAUGAGAAAGGGAAUAACUAAGGCAGUAAAUUAUGAUAAAGUAAGGCAGAUUACACAAGGCAGGGAGGAAAACCCAGCUGUGUUUUACGGCAGGCUGCGGGAAGCCUUUAAAAAAUAUAUACUAAUUUGGUCCCUUCCUCUCCUGAAGGCAAGUUAUUAAUGGCACAACGUUUCAUUAGCCAAUCCACACCAGACAUUAGACGUAAGCUCCAAAAGCUACACAUGGGGCCACAAACUAACCAAAAUCAGCUUCUUGGUACUGCCUUCAUGGUGUAUAACAAUCGUGACCUGGAGGAAGGAGAAGGGAAACAGAGUAAAGAAAAACGGCAAGCCAAAAUUAUGUUAGCCAUCACUGGUGAUGCCCUAAAUGCACAAAGAUUGUCCAAGGGAAACUCAAAGGGCCAUAAGGAUAAUGCCAGCAAAGGCUCUUGCUUCAAAUGCAAUAAAAGUGCGAUUGGGCACAGGAAUCCACUAAGCCCCCGCCAGUCCCCUGCCGUCAAUGUAAAAGCACCAGUUGUGGCUCCUGGCCCUGGAGAAUUGACUGUCCCUGCUCCCACCAAGGGGCUCAGUCAGUCAAAACUCUGGCAGUGCACAAGGAGGAAUCAGAUGAAGACUGAAGGGGCCUGGGGCCUUCCUCACUGCCCCGUCUAGGAACAUUGUAAUUACUACUGAGGAACCCUGGGUAACUCUGGACAUCAUGGCCACCCAAAUUCAGUUUUUAUGUGAUACCAAGGUGAAUUAUUCUGUACAACUGCUUAUGCAGGAAAACUUUCCUCCCGGUCCAUGAGUGAUAUUGGAUGGAAGGGAAGCCACAAACAAGAUUCUUACUCCUCCUUUGGUUUGUCAAUUUGAGAAACAAAUCUUCCAACAGGAAUUUUUAGUAGUACCAAGCUGCCCAAUUCCCCUGUGGGAAAGAGAUAUUAUGGUGAAAAUAGUGACACUACUGCAAUUUAAGCAAUAUUAGCAGGUGAAACUGCUAAUAGUAAGAAAUAAGGCAAUGUCCCAGACCAUGUCAAUAAACAGGUUAACCCACUGGCAUGGUAUACUGGAAACCCAGGGAAGGCUAAAACAGCAGUGCCAGUCAAAAUACAGCUUAAAGACCCCAGCCAUUUUCCCAAUGGAAAACAAUACCCAGUUGAACAGGAAGCAAGCAAAGGUCUAGCUCCCAUAGUUGAGAUAUUACUUACCCAUGGACUCUUAAAACCCUGCAAUUCUCCCUGCAAUACCCCCAUCUUACCUGUUCUCAAGCCUGGGGGGAAUACCAGCUAGUACAGAACCUCAGAAUAAUGAAUGAGGCUGUUAUCCCCGUCCACCCAUUGGUGGCAGAUCCAUAUGCCCUCCUGGCUCAGGUGCCAGGGCAUGCAAAAUGGUUCUCAGUCCUAGACCUUUCUUCUCCAUUCCUCUGGCCCCGAGCCCCCCAGUACCUUUUUGCUUUCGAAUGGGAAAAUCCUAAUACCAGAUAAAAACAAUACACUUGGACAGUGCUUCCUCAGGGCUUUCGGGAUAGCCCCCACUUCUUUGCCUGAGCAUUAGAGCGGGAUCUGAGGGAUUUCAAGUUAGAAAAUGGAGGUAUUCUUCAGUAUGGGGAUGACCUUGUGUGUAGCCCAACCUAGGAGGUUUCUGACCAAAAUACUAUAAAAACUUUGAAUUUCCUGGCAGACAGAGGAUACAAAGUGUCCAAAAAGAAGGCUCAGAUUACCCUCCAAUGGGUCCACUAUUUAGGAUAUGUCUUAACACCCGGAACCCGGCAAAUAUCCCCAGAAGGAGUGCAAGCUAUAUGUGGUUUGGCCGCGUGCACCACCCCCAGCCCCCACCCUGACCCACCUCCAAGCAGCAGCUUUGUUCCUUUUUGGGGAUGGCCGGGCUUUGGAGAAUAUGAGUACCAAAUUUUGGGCUCAUAGCAAAGCCCCUAUAUGAAGCAACAAGGGGGCCUGAAAAUGAGCUAAUGGAAUGGACCCCGGAAAUGAGGAAAGCCUUUGCCAAGUUAAAACAGGUUCUCACCCAGGCUCCUGCUCUUGGUAUCCCAGACCUAAUUAAGGCCUUCUCCUUGUAUGUAGCAGAGAAGAGGGGCAUAGCUGUGGGAGUGCUAGCCCAGAAAUUAGGAUCAGAACCCAGACCAACCGCCUACUUCUCAAAAAAGUUGGACGGAGUGGCCUCAGGAUGGCCAAGUUGCCUGCGGGCAAUAGCAGCCACUGCUGUUAGUGGAGGAAGCCACUAAAAUCACCCUAGGGCAACCACUGGAAGUUCUAACGCUCCAUCAGGUAAAGUUAGUCUUAGAAAUAAAGGGACACAUCUGGAUGACAGGGGAAAUGUUAACUAAAUACCAGCCCAUGCUCCUAGACAAUCCAGAUAUAACUCUUAAAACCUGCAACACUUUAAAUCCAGCUUCAUUGCUGCCCACAGGCCCAAUAAUUGAUCAUUCCUGUGAGCAGGUCAUUGCACAUACAUAUGUUAGCCAGCCUGAUUUAAAAGAUGAGGCUCUCCCAGAUUCUGAAGCUGACCGGCUCACAGACGGCAGUAGUUCUUUGUCGAAUGGGGAGCACAGAGCUGGAUAUGCAGCAGUAAAUCAUGACACAAUUAUUGAAGCCCAGCCAGUGCCCCCUGGCACAUCAGCACAAAAGGCUAAAAUCAUUGAUCUUACUCAAGCAUUAAUGUUGGGACAAGGGAAAAAACUUAACAUCUAUACAGAUUCUAAAUAUGCAUUCCUUGUGGUUCAUGCUCAUACCGCCAUCAGGAAAGAAAGGGGAUUACUUACUAGCAAGCACUCCCCUAUAGAGCAUGGACCUGAAAUUCUGCAGCUAUUGAAGGCAAUACACCUGCCAAAGGCCAUAGCUAUCAUUCAUUGUAGGGGGCAUCAAAGGGACUUAACCCCUAUAGCACAAGGGAAUGGAAAGGCUGACGGAAGCCAAAGCAAAAGCCCUCAGCGUGCAAUCCCAACAGAUCCUAGCACUGCUUCCUUUCUACAAUUCCCCAGUAGAACCCAAAUACACACCACAGGAAGAACAGCUAAUAAAAAAAGCAAGGGAGACAAAAACAAGGAUCCUGGUGGCAUAUGGAGCCAAAAAUAUAUCUCCCUCAGGCAGCCCAGUGGAGAGUUAUAAAAGCCCUGCAUGACUCUUUCCAUGUGGGGAGGGAUGCGGCUCUGGCCAUGGUAAACAAGUUCUUUACUGGGUUUAACUCAGCUUCAAUGGCUAAGCAGGUCUGUCAAGCCUGCUCACUGUGUGCAUUUAACAAUCCAGGCAUCAAAAUGCCCCCUCUAAUAAAACCAGUCCAAAGGAGGGGAACUUAUCCAGGGGAAGACUGGCAGUUAGACGUCAUCCAUAUGCCAGCUUGCAGAGGAUACAAGCUUUUGUUAAUACUAAUAGAUACUUUUAGGUUGGGUCAAAGGUUACCCCAGAAAAGGCUAAUGAGGUUCUAAGGUCCUCUUAAAAGAAAUAAUUCCCCAGUUUGGGUUACCUCAGGGUCUCCAAAGUGAUAAUGGCUAAUCCUUUAUCUCCCAAAUAACUCAAGGGGUUGCUAAGGCUCUUGGAAUAAAAUACUAUUUACAUUCAGCCUGGAGGCCCCAAUCCUCUGGAAAAGUGGAAAGGGUUAACCAAACUCUAAAAUAAGCACUAGCUAAACUAUGUCAGGAAACAUCAGAAACUUGGGUUAGCUUAUUGCUCACAGCCCUUUUAAGAAUUUGUAAUACCCCUAGCUCAAAAAUUAACAGAAGCCCAUAUAAAAUGUUAUACAGAAGGCCAUUCUUAACUAAUGAUUUAAUUAUUGACCCAGAAAGAGUUGGUGUAAUUAAAUACCUAGUCAACCCAGAACAAUUCCAGCGGGUUUACAAGAGUUUGGAAUUCAAAGGCUCCUCACACUUGGAACUAACCAGCAACCCAAAAUCAGGCCAGGAGAUAGGGUACUUGUUAAAACAUGGAAUGAGGGAUCACCUGCCCAACAAUUACAACCCCAAUAGAAGGGACUUUUUUCAGUAAUACUGGCCACGUCUUCUGUGGUCAAAGUACUAGUAUUAGAUAGCUGGAUACAUCUUUCAAGGAUCAAACCAUCAAUACCAGAAGCUCCAGACCAGGAACCUGAAGUUCCCAUCAGCCAGUACACCUGUGAACCAGUGGAGGACCUGAAGUACCUGUUUAAAAGAUAGCCAAAAGAUAAGUAAAUGCCUACCAACUUUCUUUGGUGUCUUUGUUGCAUAGUUACUGUGGGCUGGAAAAUAGUAGCCAUUUUUAUCUUUGCAGUUUAAUUGCCUUCUUCCAAAUAGAUAAAAAUCACUUCCUUUGUAAUAAUUAAACAGAAUUUAAAAAAUACAUUUCUAUGACAAAUAUUCCUGAUGGCAUAAGUAUCCACCCCAAGGUUCCCAUUAAAUCUUUUAACCUAAAGUAUUUCCUCUCACCUAGAGAUCAUCGAGCUGUGUGACAAGGGUGCCAGCCACUCCAGGUGAAGACACCACCCCAGGCCAUCAAGGAUCUUCCCUACCUUCACUAAACAGAGCAGGGUGAAAGUUGUGUGAUCCCCAAUAGGUAGGGACUACACCCCAAGUCAGCAGGAAGCAGUUACAGAAGAAAGACCAUUGGUCCCUCUGCUUCCCAUAAAGAUUUAUGGGGAUCACAGCUUUCACGGGGGAGAUGAGGCAAGAGAAUAGGGCAUGCAGGCAGGGUACUUGAGGCCAAUCCACGCUGACUUCCUAGAACUGAAUUAAAUGAAAGCUCCUCAGCAAUGACAGGAAUGUGAAUGGCUUUGUAACUUCUUCCUCUCCAUUAAUGCUAUUUCCACUUUGUAACUUCACUUUCAUCCUCUCCAUUUACAUAGAUCACACACCAAGUAACAUCCUCUCCAUUUACAGUAGGGCGCAUUCCGAGUCAAUGACUCUGACUGCACUUCGUUCUCCUCAUUUACAUAGAACAUUCGCCAAGUAACCAAUGGGAAACCUCUAGAGUAUUGAAACUCCAGAAAAUUCCGUAAGUGGGGCUCUUGAGCGUCUACACUCGGGUCGCUCCCACACUGUGGCGUGUACUUUUAUUCUCAAUAAAUUCCCGCUUUUGCUUUCCUCGUUCUGUUUGAGUGUUUUGUCCAAUUCUUUGUUUGAGGCGCCAAGAACCUGGACACCUUCUACCAGUGACACUACCAAUUUUUGAUUCCAUUAAAGAUCACAGGUAUUUUCUGAACAUUUACCCUGUACCAGUCUUGCAGGGUCCAAACUCCUGUUAAAGAGCUUGUGGGCUAAUGGAGGGAGCAGGCAUGUGAACAAGCAAAUUAUGAAAUAGCGUGCAGAGUACAGCAGUAGAGAUGUAUUCUAGGAUCAGAGGUCACACAGAGGAGGGGUGCCUGAUUAACUGUGCAGGGAGAC